rnacentral:tRNA from 1 species
GGUUCGAUGGUGUAGUUGGUUAUCACGUCUGUCUCACAUGCUCUUCCGAGUUUGAAGUGGUGCACAGGAGGUCUCCGGUUCGAACCCGGGUCGAACCA